AUAAAACCUAUGAUGAAAAUAGUAACAAAAUAUAAAGGUUAAGAGAGUCAGUGAUUGGUGUAAACUGAUACCUUCAUUUUUGCGAAUCCACUUCCGAGGGACUGUGAGUAGCAGUACGGUAUAACCGUUAUAUUUGAUAAAGAGGAUUAGAUAUUUAUAUUUAUAUUUAAUCAAGUAGGGUGGCAACGCGGAGUCUUUCGUCCCUUUU
rnacentral:ncRNA from 1 species